AGUUGCCUGAACCCAUGGGAAUGACACAACCCAAAACAACGGGCAUAAAUACCACUUGUCCAGAUGCUCAAGAGGAGGCACGCAAGGUACUUCAGAGGAAAACUAUAUGUCGUACGUGGGUAGGUUAUUCGUGCAUGGUUGUGCUAAUGCCUGUGACAGGAACUGCUGGUUGGUGAUUUUUUUAAUCCAUUGUGCACAGAUGCCCAGCACACGAGGUGUGGCAGCAGGACUUCAGCGGGAGGCUCACAGCAGGCAGAUGAGAGAGGAGGGAUAGACACCCUUUCUGUCCUCUGUAUCAUGGACGCUAACCAGCCUGCUAGUGUCAGUGCACAGCUCAGUUUGUUGCUCCCACACCGUCACCUUUCUCUGUGAUGGCUGAGGAUGCUUAACACAGAGCUGACCAGAAUGAUUCUCCUUGAACAAAGCUGUCAUUUGAUCAAAGAAAGCUCUGUACUCCAUGAAUCUGAACAGUAGAAAAUGUCUCAACAGG